rnacentral:rRNA from 1 species
GAUGAACGCUGGCGGCGUGCCUAAUACAUGCAAGUCGAGCGAACAGAUGAGGAGCUUGCUCCUCUGACGUUAGCGGCGGACGGGUGAGUAACACGUGGAUAACCUACCUAUAAGACUGGGAUAACUUCGGGAAACCGGAGCUAAUACCGGAUAAUAUAUUGAACCGCAUGGUUCAAUAGUGAAAGACGGUUUUGCUGUCACUUAUAGAUGGAUCCGCGCCGCAUUAGCUAGUUGGUAAGGUAACGGCUUACCAAGGCAACGAUGCGUAGCCGACCUGAGAGGGUGAUCGGCCACACUGGAACUCAGACACGGUCCAGACUCCUACGGGAGGCAGCAGUAGGGAAUCUUCCGCAAUGGCGAAAGCCUGACGGAGCAACGCCGCGUGAGUGAUGAAGGUCUUCGGAUCGUAAAACUCUGUUAUUAGGGAAGAACAAAUGUGUAAGUAACUAUGCACGUCUUGACGGUACCUAAUCAGAAAGCCACGGCUAACUACGUG